rnacentral:rRNA from 1 species
UAACCGUAUAGGGGAGCCGUAGGGAAACCGAGUCUUAACCGGGCGUUAAGUUGCAGGGUAUAGACCCGAAACCCGGUGAUCUAGCCAUGGGCAGGUUGAAGGUUGGGUAACACUAACUGGAGGACCGAACCGACUAAUGUUGAAAAAUUAGCGGAUGACCUGUGGCUGGGGGUGAAAGGCCAAUCAAACCGGGAGAUAGCUGGUUCUCCCCGAAAGCUAUUUAGGUAGCGCCUCGUGAACUCAUCUCCGGGGGUAGAGC